rnacentral:rRNA from 1 species
UAGGGAUAGAUUGUUGCAAUUUUCAAUCUUGAACGAGGAAUUCCUAGUAAACGCAAGUCAUCAGCUUGCAUUGAUUACGUCCCUGCCCUUUGUACACACCGCCCGUCGCACCUUCUGAUUGAAUGACUCGGUGAGAAAUCGGGACCGUGAGUCCGUUUGCUUCAUUGCGAGUGGACUGAUGGGAACUUUUUCUAACCUCGCCAUUUAGAGGAAGGUGAAGUCGUAAUAAGGUUUCCGUAGGUGA